rnacentral:rRNA from 1 species
UACGUAGGGGGCAAGCGUUGUCCGGAAUCAUUGGGCGUAAAGCGCGUGUAGGCGGCCCAGUAAGUCCGCUCUGAAAGCCCGGGGCUUAACCCCGGGAGGCGGGUGGAUACUGCUGGGCUCGAGUCCGGAAGAGGCGAGUGGAAUUCCCGGUGUAGCGGUGAAAUGCGCAGAUAUCAGGAAGAACACCAAUGGCGAAGGCAGCUCUCUGGGACGGUACUGACACUGAGACGCGAAAGCGUGGGGAGCGAACAGG